UCUCACAAUCCACCCCCCUUCGGAGCCCAGCGUCCUCGCUAGCACUCGUUCCUCUCUCCAAUCGAUGUAGGAUCUGACAGACCUUCUAUAGUCUCCCAAAUCCAGCCUACUUUUUCCGUAGGUUUAUGGAAAAGAGUGAAUCUUGAUGCAUGGGAAAUUCACGAGGCGCCUAAAAUCUCAACCGCCCAUCAAAGUCCAACCCACAGAAAACAGAUACGACAUACAAUACUCUAGGGUAGACCAAUUAGAUCAAACCAAAUACAACAUACAAUACUCGAGGGUAGACCAAUUAGAUCAAACCAAAUACAACAUACAAUACUCGAGAGUAGACCAAUUAGAUCAAACCAAGUAAGAAUUUUAUCUUUGGUAUUGCAUUGAAAAAUUGAUUAUUAGUCCAAUUAGCAUGUCAUUGAAGGUUUAAGUAGAGAUUUAUUAAAUUAAAGUUGAAGGUCAGUAGAUGUUUAUUGAAAUCAAAUAUUGUUAAAGCUCCAACAUUAGAUGAUAGAAAUAUUAGUUGAUGCUUAGGAGCUCUUGAUUAGCAAAAAAUAUUCUAGAAUAAAGCGAUAGAAAGAUACUUAGAACUCUUGUACGGUGACAGAAAUAGUGGCAAAUAGAGGCUAUAAUAUUGAAAUGUGCAGAUUCUAAGAAUAAAUAUAUAUGACGAGAAUCGUAUUGCUCCCCACUGGAAUAGCAUCUUCUCAUUCAUUAUUUAAAUUUCAAUGCCUUUU